AAAGGUGGUGGGCCGCCGCAUCAUGGUGGUGGUGGUGGUGGGCCACCGCAUCAUGGUGGAGGGACAUCACCGCCGUUUGUUAGACCUCCUCCGGUGGUUUAUCCACCACCAGUGGUGAGGCCACCGCCUAUCUCAAGACCUCCUCCAGUCGUCUAUCCACCACCAAUGGUAAGACCUCCUCCGGUCACAACUCCUCCAGGAAUUCUCCCUCCGAUCAUUAACCCACCUCCGGUCACAACUCCUCCAGGAAUUCUCCCUCCAAUCACAACACCUCCAGGACUUCUCCCUCCGAUCAUUAACCCACCUCCGAUCACAACUCCACCACCAUCCUCUGGUUAUCCACCGUAUCAUGGUGGUCCACCUUCCGGAGGAGGAAGUGCUCAACCAACUUGUCCGAUCAACGCAUUGAAGCUUGGAGCUUGUGUUGACGUUUUGGGAGGUUUGAUUCA
rnacentral:lncRNA from 1 species